rnacentral:misc_RNA from 1 species
CUUCCUUUUAUUAUUAGAGGAAUCGUUCCCCACCACUCCAUAGAAACAUACAGUAUCCUCUCCGAGCCUAUGCUGCUUCUAACAGUAGACCUCCCAUUAAUGAUGAAUUCAAUAUACGAAUGCAGAUUUUAGUGCACGUUUCCAUGGAAGGCCAUCCUGAUUCAGCAUUCAUCCCAUGAUUUUGUGAAGGAACAACAACGCUAAUAUGAAUAGAGAAAAUUCA